rnacentral:rRNA from 1 species
UACGGAGGGUGCAAGCGUUAUCCGGAUUCACUGGGUUUAAAGGGUGCGUAGGUGGUCUAUUAAGUCAGUGCUGAAAUAUCCCGGCUUAACCGGGAGGGUGGCAUUGAUACUGAUGGACUUGAAUGGAGUCGAGGUAGGCGGAAUUGACGGUGUAGCGGUGAAAUGCUUAGAUAUCGUCAAGAACACCGAUAGUGUAGACAGCUUACUAGGCUCUAAUUGACACUGAGGCACGAAAGUGUGGGGAUCAAACAGG